AAGAAUAUACUCUCAGGGGUCAUUUCUGCAGCUCAUUACCGCAGAAGCUUCUCUGAUUCUGCAGAACACCCGAAACCAUGAGAGGAGCCAGAGGAUCAUCUCCUGAGCAUGGAACCUUUCCUAGGUGUUGCUUUGGCAGCUGCCUCUUAGCACUGAUGAUCAUUCUUCUCUUCCCUAGGAGAGGGACAGGAUGCAGUCUGAGCAUUGU